UUUGUCAUGCAUGGUCCGCUAUUUGUCGGUCUCUCUCCUCCUCCCUCAGGUGUUGUUCUAAUUCAAUCAUGCGGUUAACGUUUUCAAGGCUCACUUUUAGUUCGCUAACUUUCGUCAUGUGUGCCUGGUGAUCAUACAUAUUAGAGAAAGAAGAUGAAUCAGAACUCAUCCUAGACUUGGGUUUUGGGUCCCAACCAAAACAUUUGAAUAACCCAGUUAUUUUUGUCAACAUCUUGUAUCGUGUCGGAAUUUCUCUAAUUUUUUGUAGUGAUAAUAAAAUGCAGCUCAGCUCCUUCCAUCAUAAUGCCCAUACAUUAGAGAAAAAACUAAGUCAAAUGUAGUAAAAAGGAAAGCAGGAAAAAGCUAAAAAUCUUAAAGUGUAUUGUUGCUCUCAAAUUAAUCUGAUGUCCAUGUGAACAAAGACUUUAUAAAAGAGAAUACUUACAAAGUAUUGCAUGUGUUCAUCCAUAUAUAGGCCAAGCCUUUAGACGAAAGGCCACUUUAGAUAUGAAUAAUUAUUGAUCAUUAACCU
rnacentral:lncRNA from 1 species